GUUGAGUACGAUAUUGUGCCAUUGUUUGUAUUGGCAACACUGCUCCUCCCGGCCGCUGUCACCCAGCCUCUCAGGGGAAGCCGCGGGGGAUUUCUGGCACCAGGGAGGGAGCGGCGCCCCCCACGAGGUGGUGGUGGGGGGAGCCAUCUCUGCGGCCAACCCCAGCAGCUGUGGCGGUGCUGUGACGCUGGGCAGCACUCAGCACCUCUCAGCACUGGCCGCCUCUCCCACCACCCCUACAGCUGACUUCAGGAGGAGGAGGAAAAAGAUUGAAGCUGCUGAGUGUUCAGGAAUGGUGGAGCAGAUUAUGUAAGGUGUUUGUGUUUUCAAGAAAGGAAGAAAAGAUUAUAAUUUGUGUUUUCAAGAAAGAAGGAAAAGAAAAUAAUAGCAGUUUGUUUUCAAGAAAGGAGGAAAAGAUUAUAAUUUGUGUUUUCAAGAAAGGAGGAAAAGAAAAUAAUAGCAGUUUGUUUUCAAGAAAGGAGGAAAAGAUUAUAAUUUGUGUUUUCAAGAAAGAAGGAAAAGAAAAUAAUAUCUGUUUGUGUUCUAAAGAAAGAAAGGAAAAGAUAAUUUGCAUUUUCAAGAAAGGAGGAAAAGAAAAUAAUAGCUGUUUGUGUUUUAAAGAAAGGAAGGAAAAUUGCUAUAAGCUGUUUGUGUCUUUAGAAAAGGAAGAAAAAAUAAUACAAUCCUUAAUAAAUAUAGUGUUUUGAGAAGAGAGGAGAGGAGAGGAGCUGUUAGUCUGCAGGAAAAGGAGGAAAAAUUAAUACCAAGUUGUUUGUGGUCUAAGAAAAGGAGAAAAAAAUAAUACAAGCCAUUGGGAGUGUUUUAUAAAAGAUAAUAUAGUGUUUUGAGAAGAGAGGAGAGGAGAGGCGCUGUUAGUCUGCAGGAAAAGGAGGAAAACUUAAUACCAAGCUGUUUGUGUCGUAAAGAAAGGAGGAGGAAAUAAUACAAGCCAUUGGGAGUGUUUUAUAAAAGAUAAUAUAGUGUUUUGAGAAGAGAGGAGAGGAGAGGCGCUGUUAGUCUGCAGGAAAAGGAGGAAAAAUUAAUACCAAGCUGUUUGUGUCGUAAAGAAAGGAGGAAAAACUAAUCUAACCUUUUGAGAGUGUUUUGUAGAAGACAUUUUCGCGCGUUAGAGAAAGAAGGAAAAAGUCUUAUCCGUAUUUUGUCUUCAGGAGCGGAGGAGGAAAAAAUUAUAUAAGCUCUCGGGUGUUUUGUAGAAGAAAAUUUAAUGUGUGUUCAAGGGAGAAGAAAAUUUUUAUAAGCAUUUUGUCUUCAGGAGUGGAGGAGGAAAAAAUUAUAUAAGUUCUUGGGAGUGUUUUGUAGAAGAAAAUUUAGUGUGUUCAAGAGAGAAGAAAAUUUUUAUAUGCAUUUUGUCUUCAGGAGAGUACAAGGAAAAUAUAAUAUAAGCUCUUGGGAGUGUUUUGUAGAAGAAAAUUUAGUUUGUGUUCAAGAAAGAAGGAAAAAAGUCUUAUAAGUAUUUUGUCUUCAGGAGUGGAGGAGGAAAAAAUUAUAUAAGUUCUUGGGUGUUUUGUAGAAGAAAAUUUAGUGUGUGUUCAAGAGAGAAGAAAAAAGUCUUAUAAGUAUUUUGUCUUCAGGAGCGAAGGAGGAAAAAAUUAUAUAAGUUCUUGGGAGUGUUUUGUAGAAGAAAAUUUAGUUUGUUCAAGAGAGAAGAAAAAAGUCUUAUAAGUAUUUUGUCUUCAGGAGUGGAGGAGGAAAAAAUUAUAUAAGCUCUUGGGAGUGUUUUGUAGAAGACAGUUUUGUGUGUGUUCAAGAGAGAAGAAAAUUUUUAUAAGCAUUUUGUCUUCAGAAGAGUACGAAGAAAAAAUAAUAUAGCCUUUUGGGAGUGUUUUGUAGAAGACAGUUUUGUGUGUUCAAGAGAGAAGAAAAAAGUCUUAUAAGUAUUUUGUCUUCAGGAGCGUAGGAGGAAAAAAUUAUAUAAGCUCUCAGGUGUUUUGUAGAAGAAAAUUUUGCGUGUUCAAGAAAGAAGAAAAAAAGUCUUAUAAGUAUUUUGUCUUCAGGAGUGGAGGAGGAAAAAAUUAUAUAAGCUCUUGGGAGUGUUUUGUAGAAGACAAUUUUGUUUGCUCAAGAGAGAAGAAAAAAAGUCUUAUAAGUAUUUUGUCUUCAGGAGUGGAGGAGGAAAAAAUUAUAUAAGCUCUUGGGAGUGUUUUGUAGAAGACAAUUUUGUUUGCUCAAGAGAGAAGAAAAAAAUCUUAUAAGUAUUUUGUCUUCAGGAGUGGAGGAGGAAAAAAUUAUAUAAGUUCUUGGGUGUUUUGUAGAAGAAAAUUUAGUUUGUUCAAGAGAGAAGAAAA